GUUCGUCAAGUAUAAAUUCACAGUUCAGCAUAUUAAGGGAAAAUAUAACUUAGUUCCAGAUCUUCUAUCUAGACCUAAGGAACUUCACCUCAUCAAAGUCACACUUCGCAUUUCCCUUAAUACUCAUGGCUUAAUCCUCUUCCCCAAACACUCCUAGCUAUCUCGUCCCUGCUCCAUAUAGUUUUCCGUUUAGUUGCUCUCCUAACCAGCCCAAUUCGCUAAGGAUCACCUGUUUCAUUAUCUGAGUGCUAGGAAUACCCUGAGAGGAUUACUCCCCUCCUCAUCCACCUUUAUUCCUAACAACCCAUUUCUCACAUGUUUCAGCAUCCAUCCUGACAGAGACCUUAUCCUUGAAGAAUUAUGGCUCCUUUGGUGCAUGAUAACUUUAUAUUCUACUGGUAUAGAGUUUCCCCUCCUAUCACUGUACCAACACACCCUCGACAGAGCAAACAGGACUCUCUUGUUUAGGUUCCUGGAGUGGUUUAAGCCCAUUUUAGCAUGACAAUACACUCUCAGGCGACUAAUAGAAACCCAUGGAGUCGAAGAAAGGCCCAUUA
rnacentral:misc_RNA from 1 species